ACAGUGGUGGUUCAGUGGUAGAAUUCUCCUCUUGCAUGUGGGAGACCCAAGUUCCAUUCUUGGUCAGUGCG
rnacentral:tRNA from 1 species